GUGUACCUGUUACCCCUCCCUCUUCCUACUACAAAAGAGAAUUCUUAGAGAGAACACUAAAAAAGUUCUUUUAUACUAAUUUUAAAUAGACUUUAAGAUAGGAUAGGAUAGUUUUUCAUCACAAUAGUGACAUGUAUAUCAAUAAAGCUUCUAUGCAGCAAAGUUAAUGAGAACCUUACACUUAUUUGAGGUAAAUAUUCUAACAAUUGCUAGGUUAUGUAAACAUGCAAGCAACCUGUUUCCAAAUUAUGACAAUUGUAGUAUUAUUGAUAAUGGGUAGACUUUUUGUUCCUAAAAAAUAAUAAUAACUACAUCCAUUAUAUCUUGCUUUUAUUGAUUUUACUGCUUAGACUAUGCAUGUAUAUUUUUAAACAAAAUCCUUUCCCUUGCACUACUGAGAUUCUGAUUGUUCUACAAUUAAAGUUACAAACAUAAUUUAGUUAUUUAUAAGGAAAGAUAAUCAAAAUUUUUAAAUAAAAGGUUAAGACCUCAAGAAUUUUUAUAUUUCCUGAAGUAAAAGAAUUUAUUUCACAAUGUGGUAGUUCCACCAAAAUUUUUCUUAAUAAAAGGACAUAUUCAAAGCAACAUGGACCACAUAGAUCAGUGAGUCCAGACAAAAAUAAGAUCCAUGAAGAUGAAAAGAAAAUUCAGUUAAAAUUUCAUCAACAUUAAUAAUUGUUAUUUGGAAUACAUGUUAAAUCCUGCCCAUCUGUGUAACAUUGGAUAACUUUUCUAAUCAAAUUUUUACUUCUAUUCAUACUACUGAAGCAGUAUGCUCUCUGCAUCUCUCAAACCUUCAAAACAGAUAAUGGCCCAAUACAUACAUCCAAAGCUCUUGCUAAUUUCAAAUUAAUUAAAAAAAAAGACAAAAAGUCAAUUGGAAAAGUAUUAUUAUUAAUUAUUGGUAGUUCCAGCCCUCUUUUGGGGGCAAGGAUCUAUUUGUGUUUCCCCCCAGGUACACUCAUACACACUUGGAUUCCAGAAGAAUUCACCCGUUCCUGCCAUGACUCCCAUCCCAACAACAAGCCUGGGAGAAUGCAGAUACAGAGAUUGUGCUAAAACAAGAUGUUCUACCAACUUGGGGACAAAUUGGGACACUUGCAGCCCAAGCAAAACAAAGAAUGGACAAGCAACAAUUUAUACCUCCUGAUUGUACUAAUGCCUUAAUUCUUGCCAUGCUAGCCAUUUCAUCUGUACUACCAGGUAUUUCUGCCAUUGAAAGCCCCUUAUCUCCCAUUACUAAUUUUUCUUUGUGGAAAUUCAUUGCUUCUCUCUCCCCCCUCUAUAUUACUGUGCCCUAGUGACAAGAAAAGUUCCAAACCCAUUCAAGCCUAUGUAUUGAUUGUACAAUGUGUUUCCCCCACAACUUAUAGAAAUUCUUGCUAUGUAUUUUAACAAAUUGUCUUAAUCCCUCCAUUCCUGCUACCAUUGUAUUUGUUGUUAAAUAACCACCUUUUAUUAUGAUUCCUGUUAAUAUGACUAUUGACUGGUAUGAUGGUCCAGAACAUUUAUGCCCUACAAUUGAUUUCCCACAGUUUAAACCAUCCUAAACCCCUUCAUUACACCCUUUAUUUUGGGCAUCACUGCACUCAUUGCACAAGGAGUCCACACAAUGCAGACAAAUCAUGGAUAUCUAUCACUCUGGCACCUCCCUUUAUUCAGCCUCAUCCAUUGCUAAUUCAUUUUAUGAUACCAUCUCUUCCCUUAUCUUCAACAGUGAUUUGACCCACACCUUUAUUGCUUGUGGAUUUGCUCUUGUCUUAUUUUUUCUUAUUCUUUUUUGUUUUCCAGUCCUCAUCCGAUACCUAGGGUCCACAUUUGGCAAGUCUAAAUUGAACUGAAGUCUCUUCAGCUCAAAAAAAAAAAAAAGAAAGGGGGAUGUGCUGGUGGCCAUCAGUCCAUGAUGCCUUGACAGAGUCAUGCAUCGUAGCCGGGGAGACCACAGAGUGGUCCUUGGCGAGAUGUGACUGCCCACUCUAUCCCCCUUGCAUGACUUCUUUCAUCAAUGACCCUUACCUAUGAAUUGACAUGAUUAUUAUUCUCCCUAUUCUCAAAAGAAAUAAUGCAAGAGCAAAACACCUGUACCCUAAUUCUCCUAACCAUCACCAAAAGACCAGACCCUUAAACCCAAUCCCAAAAAGACUAUCAUGAGUUAACUUUUACUUAGGUACAUAAUUCCCAGUGAAACUGCAGCUACAGUCCAAACCCAAAACUUUCUCAUGAAGCCAGCACACAAAUCAAUCAUAGAGGCCCAUAAAAUAGGUACAGGUACAGUAUAGGUACACUAAGCUUCAAUAUGCCUCAGUGACUCAAUUACAUAAAUCAAACUCAAACUCCCUAGUAAGCCACCUGUGACGAAAUCAUUUAUCUUGUGUGCAACCUUCAUUCUGUCUGUAAUCACAAUACAAAAAUAUAGAAUGUUAAUCAAGUGAUUUGUUAAAAGUUAAUGUAUCACUUUUCCAAUUAUCUCUCUUUGAUUUUGUGUAUCUGCAUGCCAAGAAUAUGGAUAUAAAAUAAAUCCCAAGCCUGGGAAUGUUGGAGCAGCUCAGAGAUGCAAAGCAGUCCCAUGGCCAUAAUGAUUAAGCUGUCUUCCAUUUGUUAUUUAUUUUAUGUUAUUUAUUUUGACUGAUUGUUGGCCACCUGCCGGGAACCCUGGAGUUGCGAGUGGGGCUGGACCCUGACCUCGGCACUUCACCAACCAGAAUUUUCCUGCCUAUUCUUUUUCUUUAAUAGACUGACCAAGUACAACAAGUCACAUUUUCAAAGUCCUUUAAGAUUGGCAAUAAGAUAAGCCUUCAAGGAAAGCAGGGAAAUAUAAGAAUACAUCAAGGACCUGUGAUUUCAUUAAUGUGGGUAGCCAUUCCACUUAACUCGUUCAUCUACCCCUUUACCUGUCAUGGGAAAAUUCACCACAUUUCAGUCAACUAGUUUGACUUUGGAAGAGCUCUGACUGAGGAUCUCCAACUUCUUCUGCUUUCCUUAAAACUACCACAUGGGAACCAGCAAAGUGAAUUCUCCUUUCACCCAAGGAGUCGGAAAAUCAACUCACUCUAAUCAAGGGAAAUUAUUUCAUUAACAAGGGGUUCCUGGUCAUAAUAUGAAGCCUUGCUGAAGAUUAAAAACUCCUCUCCCCAUAACCCAGUCCCCUCCUACAUAGGAAAAACAGCAUCCAGGUAAGAUGAAGAAAUGGGGACACAGAAGGGUAAAGUGACUUACUUAAAAGUCACACAAGAAGUAUCUGAAGUAGAAUUUGAACCUAUAUCUUCCUGUGAAAUUCCCUUAUUUUAUCAAUGAGGAAUCUGAAGUUUAGAGAGGGCAUAGAAGUCAAAAUUUCUCCUUUUUCCUCUUCUGUUCACUAGACAACUAGCUGGCAUAGUGAAUAGAACACUGGAUUUAUAGUCAGGAAGAUCCGAGUUCAAAUAUAUCCUAUAACACUUACUAGCUAUGUGAUCCUGGACAAGUCACUUAACCUUUGUUUUCUUGUUUUCUUAAUUGUAAAAUGAGGAUAAUAAUAACACCUCUUUCCCAGGGUUGUUGUGAGGCUCAGAUGACAUCUUACUUGUACAAUACCUGGAGUGUAAUAGAUGUAAUGUAAGUAUUUAUUUCUUCCCCUGUAACUAUUUCACUUAGGGACUAUUCAAGUAGUAAUACUUGUGUGGUUUUGAGUAAGUUAUUCCCUUCUUUGGACCUCAUUUUUCCCACCUAAAAUAUUGAAAAUUUGUGAAAUAGCUCUGUUUAGCUCUGAUUUUAUAUGCUCUCACAUUUAGUUACCUAAGGCACCUUCUAGCUCUAACAUUUUGCAUUAUAAGUUUCCUUUUGACUCUAAAAUUCUGUGUUCUAGGGUUUCUUUAAAUUCCAAUAUUCUGAAUUUUCAGGUUACUCCUAACAUAUAUUCUGUGCCCUGAGAUCUUAUCUACUUCUGAGGUUCUGUUCCAUGAUUUUUUUAAAUAUACCUUGCUUAGAAUUCUCAUCUUCUAGGCAUAUUAUAAAGUGCUUUUCCUAGUCCAAAACUUCCUACCUAAAUUACUGACAGUGGAAUUUGUUUCCCCUUCUCCCUACUAGCCUUCAUGAAAUUUUCUGGGUUUAAGUACAUACAAAUGAUUAAAAUUAGGGAUUGAAAAUAGUCAAUCAAAACAGAAGAUCCCUUCACAAGUGAUGGCUUCUUUGGUCCCUAUAACAGGAAAGCCCCAAAGAAUGUUUUGUCUUCUUUGGUAUAAUCCACAAGAGAGAUGUCACUGACAUUUACCAUCAGCUUAUCUCCCUCUUGCAUAGGAAAAACAGCACCCAGGUAAAUUGGAAUAAACCAAUUGCUGCCUAUCUCACAGAUGGACUUGGUCCCUGUUAAAAGCUGCGUUGGCUCAGGGUAUCUGUCAGUGACUCUGGUGAUGACCUGAGUUAUGUAAUCUGGCUUGGUGGAUCGAUCCUUCUGAUUAAUUUUACCACAUUCUGGUGUGCUGCCUCGGAAAGUGACUUGUGAAUACACAAAGUAGUCUCCUGACUCCGGAAUCACUAGGAACUUGUUGGUGUAGUUCAUUUGGUUUUUGACGAAAGCAGAACCAAGUUUAUGUUCCCACUGGAGAGCCGGCCAUGAAUCUUUCAUGGGAGUCAUAGGAUUCUGUCGAAUAGCUAGGAAGAAACACACAAAAAGUUAGCUUUGCUCACAUGGGAUCAGUAGACCCCUGUAAAAGAAAUAACAGUCACUAAGAAGGACAGAAAAUAUUCCUUUUAAGCAAUAUUUAUUCUUUUUCUUUAUUUGUUAUCUUUUGGUUUUAUGCCAUCUUUGUUUUCGAAUAUAUCUAUCCCUCCUCCUAUAGCUAGUGACUUGUGCCUUGCAACAAAGAAUUAAAAAGGAGGGAGAAUACAAUUAAAAAGAUCCAAUCAACACAUCCACCAUGUCUGAAAGUACAUGCAAUAUUCCAUCCUGAGCAGGUCAUCUAGGUGGCACAGUGGAUAGAGUGCUAGGCAUGGAGUUGGGAGGACCUGGUUCAAAUUUGGCCUCGGACUCUUCCUGGCUGUGUGAGCCUAGAUAAGUCAUUUAACCCCAUUUGUCUAGCCCUUACCUUUUAUCAUAGAGUUGUCACUAAGACAGAAAGCAAGAGUUUAGAAAGAAAUGUUCCACACCCAGAAUCCCCUAAAACUACAAAGAAGAGGGAGAAGAGUAUCUUUUCACCUCUUCUUUAGGGCCAUUCUUGGUUAUUAUAAUUACACACUAUUCAGCUUUUGGAAAAAUAUUCAAUAUCAUCACCACCACCAUCAUCAGAUAUGUUAGGUGGCAGAGUGAAUCGAGUGUUGGGCUUGAAGCCAGGAAGACCUGAAUUCCAGUAUUUACUCAUUUGUGUAACCUUGCCUUGAGCAAGUCACUUAAUUUUUGCUCGCCUUUGUUUCCUUAACAGUAAAAUGAGAACAAUAAUUGCAAUGACCUCUGGGAUGGUUGUGAGAAUCAAAUGAGAUCAUAUUUGUUAGAGGGCUUAGCACAGCACCAAGUGCAUUGUGGGCACUUAAUGAAUUCUUAUUUCCUUCCUUCCUUCAUCAUCAAUAGGAAGAAUAUAUUGAAAGCAAUGAACACAGGCAAUAUCAGUCUUAAUGAAUGCUUUCAAAACUAUAAAAUGGACUAUAACUGACUUGAAAAAUAUGCUAAUAAAAGUUUACACAAUAUCAACAAAGCACAGGGCUCAUUAAUGUAAGGUAGCUCAUCUAUGGAAUAAUGAAUGCUACUUAUACAACAGGAAGAAGAGGAUGGAAAGAGAUUCUCAGAUCACAUGAUUAACUGGUCUCAAACCUAUGGAAGUACUUUCAGAAUGGAUAGAAAGGCAUCAUUUCAUCAAGCAACGGUGACAUACCCAGAAACUAUGUUGACAAAGAAGAGAGAAAUGAAUGACUGAGACAUGCAGAUAUGUUUUGGAGAACAGAACUAUUUGUGAUGGUAAUUUGGGACUAGAUUGUCACUGCCACAUUUUACAGAAGAGUUAUCCUUAAAAAUCUUGGACCUGGUGGUCAGUGCAGAUUAUACAAGGGAACAGAAAAUUUUGUGCAAUGCAUCCUUGAAGGAUGCAAAAAUUUGGCCUCUACCAAAUAACUAGGUGAUAAAUGUAAGUAUAAAUAAUAAAAGAAUGCAAGCAAGAUGUGACCCAGAAGUUAAAAUUAUAGAUCAGAAACUUUCUAUCUUUCAUGAACCAACAUGAAGACACAUCUAUCUGUGUGCUACAAAUUCAGCUGUCAAAAUAUUCUUGAGAAGUCAACUAAUAAGCAGAGCAUCAUUACAGAUAGAGCUAUUGUCUACCAUCAAUUGCAUAUGAAAUCAUUAAAAAUGAAUGAUUUUUGUUAGAUAUCAUCAUAUAAGUACUUCUAAUCACAAAUUCUCAAAGCCACAUACAAUGAAAAUCUUUCAAAAUAUAGAUGCAAUAGAAAAAAAAAUCAGAAUCUCUUCAUCCUUCAUCCUGUCUGCUAUUGGACUUGCAUUAAGGAUGCUUUCACUGAGCCUACAACCUAACACUUUUAUUUGAUUACAAAAAACCAGCCAUUUUUUUCCUUCCAUAAGAAUCUAGAAAUUAUUCAAUAUAAAUGAAUGUUAAUAUAAGAAUGAUAAAUCCUGAGACUUUUUCCAUAUAAGUUCCAUUGGGUAAGAUGAAGACAAGAUAAUGAUAAUAACAUUAACAACAGCAAUAUCUUUAUAUAGUAUUUGGACUUGGUCAACUAAAGUUCUCUUCUGUUGCCCCCAUUAAUGCAGAGAGGUGACUCUGGCUUCUUGAAUAAUAUAUCAGGGGAACAUAGCUUGGGGCAGGUUUUAUCAAGUUGUCAGUUGGAGUACAGAGUCAGAGACUCCAAAUUACUUUGGGUUUUGGGGCUUCCAAAGCAUCUGCCCUAAUUAGCAGAAGUUGUUGUUGCUCUUGUUUAGUCAUUUUUCAGUCAUGUCCAACUCUUUGUGACCCCGUUUGGGGUUUUCUUGGGAGACACACUGUAGUGGUUUGAAAUUUCCUUCUCUAGUUUGCUUCACAGAUGAGGGAUUGAGGCAAAUAGGAGUUGUGACUUGUUCAGAGUGAUAUACCUAGUAAGUGUCUGAGGCCAGAUUUGAACUCAGGAAGAUGAGUCUUCGUGGCUCUGGGCCUCUCUCCAUUAUGCCACGUAGCUGCCUCAUUAGCAGAACUAGUGUAGGGUUAAACACUGGAUAAUACCAAAACAAUUAAUUUGGAUGUCUUCUUGGCUGAGUUAUUUGACUGUGACAUUUUUUAGCAACCAGAUAUGGUGGAAAGGCAAGACUAAGCCAGUCUGGGAUGAGAUAUUUUCUGGAGAUAUCCAUGAAAUCAACUAGUGAAGACCUAAUGGAGUGAGCCUGUAAUUUGAAUGGCUCCAUUGCGGAUGUGAAGAAGUAGAGCCUCAUCUUUGACUUUGUGAUGGCUUUUGGAUGUAACUAGAGAACUUUGGAAAGGGGACAUAAAUUAAUAAUUUUCCACAGGAGAGUAGGACUGAAUGGACAGCUCCAGCUACAGAUUCUAAAAUUUCUGGUGUUGAACAGUGGCCUAAUAAAAAUAGUUAUCAUCUCUGCAGCCUGUGGUUCUCAAUUCACUAAGUAUUAAUUAGAGGCCUAGGAGCUAAUUGUCUCAAAUAUAUAGAACAAUCUAGGAACAGCUUAUUUAUGGAGCAUCAUAGAGAAAGAAAGGAAUUCUUGAGCUUUUGCAUUUCCCAGAUAAUCAAAAUUUACCCCACACCUUUUUAGUGCCAAAAAUUAUUUAAAAGUGGAUUUGAUAUGUAUAGCUACAUUUUUUUGUGGUGGCAAAAAUUGGAAUUUUUUUUCCAAAUUCCAAAUUCCAAAAAAUUGAGAGGUGUCCUUGGAUUAGGGAAUGGCUAAACAAAUUAUGGUAUAUGAUGGUGAUGGAUGGUGCUAUAAGGAAUGAUCUACAUGAACUGAUUCAGAGUGAAAUAAGCAGAACCAGAAGAACAUUAUUUUUAGUAAGUGAAACAUUGUGGGAUGAUCAAAUAUUAUAGACUUUUCUACUAAUAGCAAUGCAACAAUCCAGGACAAUCCUGAGGGACUUAUGAAAAGGAAUGCUAUCUGCAUCGAGAGAAAGAACUGUGGGAGUAGAAGAAGAAAACAUAUGAUUAUAUGGUUAUAUGAUUUGAGGUUUUGGUCUUAUAAUAGUAUUCACUUAAAAAAAAUGAAUGGAAACAGGUUUUGAGUGAUAUUGCAUAUA